rnacentral:rRNA from 1 species
AUUGAACGCUGGCGGCAGGCUUAACACAUGCAAGUCGAGCGAGCGGCGGACGGGUGAGUAAUGUCUGGGAAACUGCCUGAUGGAGGGGGAUAACUACUGGAAACGGUAGCUAAUACCGCAUACCAUCAGAUGUGCCCAGAUGGGUGUAGCUAGUAGGUGGGGUAAUGGCUCACCUAGGCGCCGAUCCCUAGCUGGUCUGAGAGGAUGACCAGCCAAACGGGAACUGAGAAACGGUCCAGACUCCUACGGGAGGCAGCAGUGGGGAAUAUUGCACAAUGGGCGAAAGCCGGAUGCAGCCAGGCCGCGUGUGUGAAGAAGGCCUUCGGGUUGUAAAGCACUGUCAGCGAGGAGGCGUUACUCGCAGAAGAAGCACCGGCUAACUCCGUGCCAGCAGCCGCGGUAAUUC